rnacentral:tRNA from 1 species
GGAUGGGUGGUCGAGUGGUUUAAGGCACCGGUCUUGAAAACCGGCGAGGGGCGACCCUCCGUGAGUUCGAAUCUCACCCCAUCCGCCA